rnacentral:rRNA from 1 species
AUUGAACGCUGGCGGUAUGCUUUACACAUGCAAGUCGAACGGCAGCGCGGGACAACCUGGCGCUGAGUGGCGAACGGGUGCGUACUAUAUAGGAACGUACCCAGAUUUAGGGUAUAAUGUAGCGAAAGUUACGCUAAUAUCCCCUACGAUCUCCGACUGCAUGCAGGGGAACGCAAGGCAUUUUCCUUUUGUAGCCGCUGAUAUCGGAUUAGCUAGUUGGCGCGGUAAAGGCUCACCAAGGCGACGAUCAGUAGCUGGUCUGAGAGGAUGACCAGCCACACUGGAACUGAGACACGGUCCAGACUCCUACGGGAGGCAGCAGUGGGGAAUAUUGGACAAUGGGCGCAAGCCUGAUCCAGCAAUGCCGCGUGAGUGAAGAAGGCCUUCGGGUUGUAAAGCUCUUUUGUCAGGAAAGAAAAGCUACAGGCUAAUAUCCUGUUGUAAUGACGGUACCUGAAGAAUAAGCACCGGCUAACUUCGUG